rnacentral:rRNA from 1 species
UACAGAGGUCUCGAGCGUUAGGCGGAAUCACUGGGCUUAAAGCGUGUGUAGGUGGAUGGGUAAGUACCUUGUGAAAUCCCACAGCUUAACUGUGGAACUGCUGGGUAUACUGCCCGUCUUGAGUCACUCAGGGGCGAGCGGAACGGAUGGUGGAGCGGUGAAAUGCGUAGAUAUCAUCUGGAACGCCAAUGGUGAAGACAGCUCGCUGGGGGUGUACUGACACUGAGACACGAAAGCCAGGGGAGCGAACGGG